UUCCCCGGCGUGGCGGCUAGGGCUCUUCUUUGGUUCAGCCUUCCCACUUUCCUCCUCCCCCGGCCCCUAGGCUGACUCCCCACUCCUCUUUACCCCAGCCCCCUCUGGUCAGUCUCCCAACUCCCGAUCCGGCUCUCCUCGGGCCACGUUCCUUCCGUCCGAAUAUCCCCCACUUCCCUCUGACUCGCCUCCCCACUCCUCUUGUUCCAGGCCCCGGCCCCCAAAACCUCCCUCAGCAGCGCACUCCCACGGUGUCCCUAGACCCUGGUGGGCCCGCGUGGCCCGCGGCUCCAGGAGCAUGCCGGCGCGCCUCCGGCCCCGCAGGCCGCUCACUCCUCCGCGAGGCCUCUCUUUCCUUUCCCCGUGCCGCCUCAUCUCAGGCUGUCCCUUCCUUGGACGCUCCAUCACUCCGUCCCUCCAUCCUUCCCUUGCAGGAAAUGGGGUCAAGCUCGGGCUUCACCGGCGGGAGGGGCGGAGGUGAGCCACCGCUGAGUAAUUGAGUGCCCUGGGCGGUUCCCGGGCACAGUCCUCUUGUCCCAGUUGCAGCACCACACGAAAAUAGCCUAAUGCCGGUGUUUCCCACCUAUUCUCAGCUUCCUAGGAACACCUUGGGCUUGGGACCUCGAUGGCCUCAGCCAUGUUCAACAAGUGAGUUUGGCUCCCUCCCCCCACCGAACAGCCGCCUUGUGCAGAAAGCAGUGGGAAAAAACUAGUAGUUUGGUGCUAAGAAAAACCAGAGAGUACAACGUGAAAUGUAAAAGUAGAGCCCCACGACUGGAAAUGACUAUUUUUGUGGCCGCAGCAAACGAGCCUUUAGAAAACAAGAUUAAAAAUAGAGGUGGUUUUCGCAGCCUGCUUGGUCCCUUAGCAGUUUGAACACAGGAAACUGACUUAUUCUCAGAGGAAGGAUUUUUCUUGAUUCAAAUAGUGUUACAGGAAGUGCCUGCCCCUCCCCCGCACUUGCCAGGGCAGGGUUGAAGGCUCAUGCUGUAUAUAAAUCAGGUUCUGAGUGUUUAAUCGGUUGACUCAGCUUGCCUGGGGAGUCAGGCCCAUAGACUGCCUUUGGGAAGAGUCCUGCAGUGUUCUUCCAGUGUGCCUUUAAGACAAAACCCUUCAGACUUUGUUUGGACGGGGAUGUGUUUUCAAAGGUGGGGUACAGACUUGUAUUUCCUGCCCCAUCAGGAUCACCUUGCUUAGUCCUUUGGUGAAAUGGUGGCACGAGGUGGGCCCCGUGAGGGGUGGUGGAUUCUGCAGUCUGGUGCAGUACCCGCACUUGGGCAGGUGGUACCAAAAGGGCUGCAGGGUCAGGCCUGCAGCCCAGAACCGCCCGCAGAUGGGGGGAGAACAGGGUCUGCCUAUCUGCUCCCUGGGUCUCGGUGUUGUAGGGCCUUGUUGGAGGUCAUCUCUUGUAUGCCACUGACUAGUGAUGGGUUUCUUGUGGCCGCUUGGAGGCCUAGGCGGAGCACAUGCAGGGGUGGUAGUUUCUCCACCGCUGGCAAUGUCAGGAGCCUUGUUACUAUGGAGAGUGUACCUCUAGGGACUGGGGAAAGGAAGGUUAGCAGGUGAGAACUGAAAUCCUAGGAAAUGUGAGGCCCAGGGAAGGAGGAAGAACUAAUGUUGACUGAGUCCUUACCAUGUGCCAGGUAUGGACCUCAUAUUAGACCAUUGAAUUUAAACUAUGGAACAGGCUUCUGGGAGUCAGGACGGAGGUGAGGAGAGUAGAAAUAGGGGUUGAUUGAUUGGAGUGGGAAGUGCAGGAAGGAGGCCCCUGCGGCUGUGCACGGAAACCGGUCACGGUGGGAGAUAACACAG